GACAGAGGGUGCAAACGUUGUUCGGAAUUACUGGGCGUAAAGCGAGUGUAGGCGGUCUGCUAAGUCGGGUGUGAAAGCCCUGGGCUCAACCCAGGAAGUGCACUCGAAACUGGCAGGCUAGAGUACUGGAGAGGUUGGUGGAAUUCUCGGUGUAGAGGUGAAAUUCGUAGAUAUCGAGAAGAACACCGGUGGCGAAGGCGGCAUCCUGGACCGGCAUUGACGCUGAGGCGCGAAAGCCAGGGAGCAAACGGG
rnacentral:rRNA from 1 species